AUGAAAGAAAAUUCAGUGGAAAUUUAGAUUUUACUUUUAUUUGUUGUUUUUAUUUAAAACCUGGACUUGUUGGAGUUUUUCCCUAAAAACUCUAAAUUUUCCAAAAGAGUUAUACUAGUUAAAUUACAGGCAACUUAUGCACAUUAUGUCAUCAAUGCACGUGUAGGUAUUGUCAUUGUCCAAUAUUCAAUCCACACACUAUAAAUAAUCAUAAUAUCUUCUGUUUUUUUAUGGUGAAUGAUCAUAUUUUCUUGAGACAGCAUGCAAAACCAAAUAUUGAGGUUCUAUGAGAUGCACAAGAGAAGGGGUAGAAGGGAGAGUGAGUGGCAUUUGUGAUAAAUCAAUGCCAGAUCAGAACUGCCAUGCAUUCUCGAUCCUUACAUUAUCCUCAAAAUUUUAUUUCAUGAUCGCAAACAACUGCAUCUUGGAAAUGGUGAGUUAAUUCAGAUGCUUCCUAUCACUUUUGAAUCACUGACACCACCCAUUUUCUAUUUCUCAAAUGAAAAAUGAAAAACAAAAAGUCACAGAUGUGCUAAGUUUAAAUUUAGUGAAAGAAAA